UAGAUUAUUAUUGGCUGAAACCCUUUUCAAUAUGUUUGGUUCCCUGGCAAGAGACAGCCCCUUCCCCUUUGAAUUCAUAUCAGAAUAAAUUCAUGUACAGACUGCAUUUAUUUAUACACAUGAAUGAUAUCUUCUCAAAAGCACUUUUUCCCCCAGUACUAAACAUAUCUUUAGUCAUUUUGUGCCUUAUAUAGAUCUUGAUAGAUGAUAGGCCGUUAAUUCUAUAAAAUAACAUCACUUUGUUUAUCUCAUUCCCAGGCUCUUCCAGAGACCACCACCUGCCUGGUAAGCAGAAAAGGAGUUGACACCCUACAUUAUUGUUUGUUUUUAUGAAUCGCACCUUUUUAGCCCUAAAAAUUGAGUAUUUUACUAAUUACACAAUAUUUCUGUGAUUUACCAAGUGUAAAAACCCUAAUAGAAAAUGACGCAAUCUAAAAGCUGUCAGUGGGAGCCGCGCUGGGCAAAUUGUAGCCUUUAUUGAAUAUUUGGCUCAAGGGGUUUCCAUGAUUUGUAUUGUUUGUAAGCACAUGGAAAUUCUUGUGAAAAUGAGGAUUGAGGUUUUUGGUGAAAAAUCCAGAAAUGUGUGAAUCUGAUUUAUUUUCCUCUCUUAAUCAGGUUCCGUCGGUUGGAUGUGGCAUUGACAUCUGCCCAGAGCCGCCGACCCCUGAGACCAACAUCUGCCAGGAGGAACCAGAGCAGAUUGCUGAGCCUGGCGAGGAGAUUGAGGAGCGCCCAGAAACACCCGGGGCUCAGACUCGCCAGGAGGAACCAGCUGAGACUCCCACUGACACUAACACCUGUCAGG